AAUCAGAUGCAUAAAGAGACCAGUGGAUCAUUUAUACCAAAGGGAAAAUUAGGCAAAAAAUCGAUAAAAGCGAAAAAUGUCAAGACAUGAGUAAUCAAAAACUGUCCAGCUAAUCAACUAGCUACACCAACAAAUUAAACUAAAACCAAUGAAUUGUGAGUUAGGAUACUACCAUUUACCCUCCAAUAUUUAGUUUCUGACUAUUUGUAGACUUCAUAACUAGUUUGCAGUACUACAAAGAAAAUGCUCCAGAAAGGAAAGCAAGAAAUUGAAGUCCAUAUAGCCUUGGCAAGUCCCUAUUAACUUUGUCCCUGAAUCUCAAACUCGCUAAAAGUUUUUCACGCGUCGUCUGGACUCAUAUUUUCCAGUGAUCUUAUUUGGCAUACUUUUAUUUUCCAGCCAACAUCUAAUAACUCUCCUACAAAAUCUUUGAGUUUUGGUUGGUGACAAGGUACCUCUUUUUCAAGAAAGGUGCAUGUCAAAAGUCAAGCUCUUCUGAUGAAGCACGCAGCAGGUCAACGACCCAUUCAAAAAUUUCGACUAUAAGCUCCGGCUCAACUGGAAUGGCUGAAAAAGGAGCAGAAAUGCAAGAAGGACUUGAAUAAAAUAAGGGAUGAGAUUAUAGAAAUGAAGGUAAAAAUCCUAUGAAGUACUUACGAAUAGUAUUCCACAUUUCAGGGAAUGGCUCGGGAGCAGAACGAUGCAAUUGACAGGUCCGUAUCAUCACAAAUCUAUGAAGCCAUCCUCGGUCAAAGUCAUCCUCCGGAUUGAUCAGGCUGCGUCUUCCUUAAGGAAGUAAAUGCACUAAUCCUCCUCGGAAUUACCGGGGAGAAUACAAGUGCAUCAGAUGAUCAAGAGAGAAUGUGACUCCGGCCUGGUCAUCCAAAAGUUGAAUACAAUAGAUUGUACGCCAAAUUUGAGGGACCACUUGGCCUAUGCAAAUUCGAUAAUGGCGGAAAAAAUCUUCUAUGAUCAUAGGAACGGGCAGUUUAAAGCCAACCAUGAAAGGGUAGGUGUAAAUCAUGGAAAGACCCUCAAUGUGAUGAUUCAUCCGAGCUUCAGGGCCAACAACCCCAAUAGUAACUUCACAACUGAAAUUGCAAUCUUCACGCUCUUGAGGGAUGAUGUCAGUCGUAAUUAACGAACCAAUUUCUUUGAUAGAUUCUUGGCGCUCGUUAACACGAAAAUCCUCAUGGUAUUGAAAGCCUGAGGGCAGUCCGUCAGCAGCAAAGGAUUGCAAGUCGAUUUCUUGACUUGUUGGAGAGAUAGGGGCUUUACCAGGACGAUGAGCAAGAUCAUGAGAUUCGUAGUCAGAUUUAUUUUCAGAAGGACAUUGAUACAGACCCACCUCUCAAGACUUACCCUAGGAGAAAAUAUUGACAAAAGGAUAAAGAGUUGAAGAGUUUUGGACAAACACAACUUCUACAGCAGUUGUCUAGCAACCGUUCCCUUAAUUUUCUCCAGCAGUUGGUUUAGAAGUUAUUAUUCCUAGUUUAUCUUAUCCUAUUAUGUUUUCGAUAAAUAUGUAAUUAGGAUUAGUUAUUUGGGUAUGCAAUAUCAGAUUUAAAAUUACUAUAUCCUGGAGUCUUGUCUUCUCCAUACGGACAUUUUUAUUGGUGUAAUUGUGUUUAAGAUUCUUGCACAAACUAUUGCCAGUAAAACUACUUUCUCUGUUCUA